rnacentral:lncRNA from 1 species
UUUAGUAGGCUUGACAACGGGGAGGUUCGAGGAUGGUUAUGACAUAACCAUUAUUCAUCCGCUUUCAUCACGGUUAUUAUCAUAACCAUCCCCAGUUUUAUUUCGGUGAUAAAAUUAGAACCAUCACCAUACCCACACGAUUAACGGUUAUAAUCACUUCCCAUUAUUAAAAAUACAAAAUGAAAAAUAAAAGUCCAAAAAAUGAA